ACCAGUGGAAGUCAGCAAGAAGAAUUCUGGAAAAUGUUCUCAGACUAAACGGCCCGACUGGACCUCAGGUUAGAACAUUCUGACUUUGAGAACAUAAACAGAAGGUUUCAGAUCCCUGUGACAGCUAACAAACACUGAAUAAAUGAAAGGCUUUCUCUAGAGCUGGUGUGUGUUUUGGCCGUUCUGGGCUACCGUAGAAACAUGGCGGACUCAGGAAGUGGACCAGCAGCUCAUUCUGACGAAACAACAACACAACAGUUCAGUUUCAGAUAAAACCAGACGCUGCUCUCUCCCUCAACACGACGUCCUCAUCACCGUCUGACCUUUGACCCCUUCACCAGCCCGCCUGCCUGAGGCACUGGUUGAAUUUAUGUUUGUUAUCACAACUUCCUGGAGGGACGGCCGAGCAAGCGUCAGACUAAAGUUCUGUCUCAGCAGCUUUAUGAUCAGACGGCGGAUCUUACGGUGGCGUAUCCGCAGGGCGUCUU